UACAGAGGGUGCGAGCGUUGUUCGGAAUUAUUGGGCGUAAAGGGCGCGUAGGCGGUGCCACAAGUCACUUGUGAAAUCCCCGGGCUUAACUCGGGGCCUGCAGGCGAUACUGCAGGGCUAGAGUCCGGAAGAGGCGAGUGGAAUUCCUGGUGUAGCGGUGGAAUGCGCAGAUAUCAGGAGGAACACCAAUAGCGAAGGCAGCUCGCUGGGACGGUACUGACGCUAAGGCGCGAAAGCGUGGGGAGCAAACAGG
rnacentral:rRNA from 1 species